rnacentral:rRNA from 1 species
AUUGAACGCUGGCGGCAGGCCUAACACAUGCAAGUCGAGCGGAGCGGCGGACGGGUGAGUAAUGCCUAGGAAUCGGCCUGGUCGUGGGGGAUAACGUCCGGAAACGGACGCUAAUACCGCAUACUCUCGGAUUCGCCUAGGUCGGAUUAGCUAGUUGGUGGGGUAAAGGCAUACCAAGGCGACGAUCCGUAACUGGUCUGAGAGGAUGAUCAGGCACACUGGAACUGAGACACGGUCCAGACUCCUACGGGAGGCAGCAGUGGGGAAUAUUGGACAAUGGGCGAAAGCCUGAUGCAGCCAUGCCGCGUGUGUGAAGAAGGUCUUCGGAUUGUAAAGCACUUUCAGUUGGGAGGCGUUACCAACAGAAGAAGCACCGGCUAACUCCGUGCCAGCAGCCGCGGUAAUAC